CCGACGAGUCCUGGCCGUUCGCGAGUCGUAGGGGCCGGGACGAACCCCGAAGGCGUAGCGAAAGCGAGAGAGCGCGUGGAAGGGCACCGGACCGGGAGAGGUGUCGCGGCGAAAGCGGUUCCGGCGGGGAGUCCUCUUCCUUCCGCCGCCUAGCAGUGCCCGAUCCCGCCGGCGUUUGCCGUUUACGUCCCGUCCCGCUUCGCCCACUUUUCUCGCCCGUUCCGAUGUGUUCGGAUUUUCCCCUCUGAGGGGAGAUGAGUGAACGUUCGGGCGUCUGUGGUGGGAAGAGACUUACGGGCGGAGUGGUCGGCGGGGUGACGACGGUAUAUCCUCCCACCGCCCGUCGGUGAAAUCCCGCGGCUUGAACUAGUCACGAUUUAAUCGUCGAGUUUAGGCCCUGCGCGCGGGCGCAUCACCCCCGGGUCGGUAAUUUUUUUUCCGAGUACAACUCGGCCGACUCUGGUGUAGCGAGCGGCCAGGGACCCGAAAGAUGGCGAUCCACGCCCGGUCGGGAUGAAGCCAGAGGAAACUCUGGUGGAAGUCCGAAGCGCCUCUGACGUGCAAAUCGAUCGUCGGAACCGGGUGUAGGGGCGAAAGACCAAUCGAGCCGUCUA
rnacentral:rRNA from 1 species